CCAUACUCAAAAUAUACAAGCCAUUAUGCCAAGAUGGUAUACGGAUAGUGUGAGCGAGCCUUUGACCGUUCCCGAUUUCCGAGCUGGCUUGUCAAAACUACAAGGAAUGAAAAGGAGGGAGUAAGCAUAAAUGCUUAAUAAGUUCACAUGCAAAUAGCAAGUAACAUAACCAUAUAAGCAAACAUAAAACAUCAUUUGCAUAAUCAUCACCAAGACAUUCAUAUCACAUUUUCAUUUAUCAU
rnacentral:lncRNA from 1 species